rnacentral:rRNA from 1 species
UACAGAGGGUGCAAGCGUUAAUCGGAAUUACUGGGCGUAAAGCGUGCGCAGGCGGUUUUGUAAGUCUGUCGUGAAAUCCCCGGGCUUAACCUGGGAAUUGCGAUGGAGACUGCAAGGCUAGAAUCUGGCAGAGGGGGGUAGAAUUCCACGUGUAGCAGUGAAAUGCGUAGAGAUGUGGAGGAACACCGAUGGCGAAGGCAGCCCCCUGGGUCAAGAUUGACGCUCAUGCACGAAAGCGUGGGGAGCAAACAGG